rnacentral:rRNA from 1 species
AAUAGAUACCCAGGUAGUCCUAGCCGUAAACGAUACUCGCUAGGUGUCGGCCACGGUGCGACCGUUGUCGGUGCCGUAGGGAAGCCGUGAAGCGAGCCACCUGGGAAGUACGGCCGCAAGGCUGAAACUUAAAGGAAUUGGCGGGGGAGCACCACAACGGGUGGAGCUUGCGGUUUAAUUGGAUUCAACGCCGGAAAUCUUACCGGGACCGACAGCAAUAUGAAGGCCAGGCUGAAGACUUUGCCGGAUUAGCUGAGAGGUGGUGCAUGGCCGUCGUCAGUUCGUACUGUGAAGCAUCCUGUUAAGUCAGGCAACGAGCGAGACCCACGCCCACAGUUGCCAGCGUACUCUCUGGAGUGACGGGUACACUGUGGGGACCGCCGCUGCUAAAGCGGUGGAAGGAAUGGGCAACGGUAGGUCAGUAUGCCCCGAAUAUCCCGGGCUACACGCGAGCUACAAUGGUUGGUACAAUGGGUAUCUACCCGAAAGGGACGGGAAUCGUCCUAAACCAAUCUUAGUUCGGAUUGAGGCUGCAACUCGCCUCA